GAACGCUAGCGGCAGGCCUAACACAUGCAAGUCGAGGGAGAGGUUACCUUCGGGUAACUGAAACCGGCGCACGGGUGCGUAACGCGUAUACAAUCUGCCUUUCACAUAGGGAUAGCCCGAAGAAAUUUGGAUUAAUACCUAAUGGUAUAUAAGAGCGGCAUCGUUUUUAUAUUAAAGCUACGGUGGUGAAAGAUGAGUAUGCGUUCUAUUAGCUAGUUGGAGAGGUAACGGCUCCCCAAGGCGACGAUAGAUAGGGGUUCUGAGAGGGAUGUCCCCCACACUGGUACUGAGAUACGGACCAGACUCCUACGGGAGGCAGCAGUGAGGAAUAUUGGACAAUGGUCGGAAGACUGAUCCAGCCAUGCCGCGUGCAGGAUGAAGGUCCUAUGGAUUGUAAACUGCUUUUGUAAGGGAAGAAUAAGGGGUACGUGUACUUUGAUGACGGUACCUUACGAAUAAGCAUCGGCUAACUCCGUGCCAGCAGCCGCGGUAAUACGGAGGAUGCGAGCGUUAUCCGGAAUCAUUGGGUUUAAAGGGUCCGUAGGCGGGCUGAUAAGUCAGAGGUGAAAGCGCUUAGCUCAACUAAGCAACUGCCUUUGAAACUGUCAGUCUUGAAUGAUUGUGAAGUAGUUGGAAUGUGUAGUGUAGCGGUGAAAUGCUUAGAUAUUACACAGAACACCGAUAGCGAAGGCAUAUUACUAACAAUUUAUUGACGCUGAUGGACGAAAGCGUGGGGAGCGAACAGGAUUAGAUACCCUGGUAGUCCACGCUGUAAACGAUGGAUACUAGCUGUUUGGAGCAAUCUGAGUGGCUAAGCGAAAGUGAUAAGUAUCCCACCUGGGAGUACGCACGCAAGUG
rnacentral:rRNA from 1 species